rnacentral:rRNA from 1 species
GAUGAACGCUGGCGGCGUGCUUAACACAUGCAAGUCGAACGGAAAGGCUCCUGCUUGCGGGGGUACUCGAGUGGCGAACGGGUGAGUAACACGUGGGUGAUCUGCCCUGCACUUCGGGAUAAGCCUGGGAAACUGGGUCUAAUACCGGAUAGGACGAUGGUUUGGAUGCCAUUGUGGAAAGUUUUUUCGGUGUGGGAUGAGCUCGCGGCCUAUCAGCUUGUUGGUGGGGUAAUGGCCUACCAAGGCGUCGACGGGUAGCCGGCCUGAGAGGGUGUACGGCCACAUUGGGACUGAGAUACGGCCCAGACUCCUACGGGAGGCAGCAGUGGGGAAUAUUGCACAAUGGGCGCAAGCCUGAUGCAGCGACGCCGCGUGGGGGAUGACGGCCUUCGGGUUGUAAACUCCUUUCGCUAGGGACGAAGCGCAAGUGACGGUACCUGGAGAAGAAGCACCGGCUAACUACGUG